UAGAUUGAAGCCAGUUGAUUAGGGUGNUUAGCUGUUAACUAAGUGUUUGUGGGUUUNANUCCCAUUGGUCUA
rnacentral:tRNA from 1 species